rnacentral:rRNA from 1 species
UAGGGAAUCUUCCACAAUGGACGCAAGUCUGAUGGAGCAACGCCGCGUGAGUGAAGAAGGUUUUCGGAUCGUAAAGCUCUGUUGUUGGUGAAGAAGGAUAGAGGCAGUAACUGGUCUUUAUUUGACGGUAAUCAACCAGAAAGUCACGGCUAACUACGUGCCAGCAGCCGCGGUAAUACGUAGGUGGCAAGCGUUGUCCGGAUUUAUUGGGCGUAAAGCGAGCGCAGGCGGAAUGAUAAGUCUGAUGUGAAAGCCCACGGCUCAACCGUGGAACUGCAUCGGAAACUGUCAUUCUUGAGUGCAGAAGAGGAGAGUGGAAUUCCAUGUGUAGCGGUGGAAUGCGUAGAUAUAUGGAAGAACACCAGUGGCGAAGGCGGCUCUCUGGUCUGCAACUGACGCUGAGGCUCGAAAGCAUUGGUAGCGAACAGG